ensembl:lincRNA
AGCUGGAAGAAGCGAAGAACCUCAACAAUUUUUAUUUCUACUUUUGAUCAAGGAAAUGCGUAUUUAGAAGGUUUGCUAGAGAAAAAUUUAGCAGUUUGGAGGAUUGAGAUCCUUUGGCAGAGAUAUGGGAGUGUGAGCAGGAAAUAUUUUUUUAAAGGAAGAGCUGGUGUUUUAGGAUGUCAAAGGUACAAAUUAUGAUGGUGCCAUGGUUGACAGAAAUUUGCAAGAUCUCCAUAUCUACAUUAACUCUUUGCUCCUGACUAUUAGCUGACUGGUCCAGAAAUUCUUGAUCCAAGCUUGAUAUGUAAGCUUCUCUCUCCUGUGAAUAUGGCACUGAGAGACACAAGAUUAGAAGCCCUGGGUGCUGAUCAAACUCGUAGCAAGGAAGAGUGGUGGCUCAAGACUGCCUGCUCCUGAGACUUCUGAGAAGGGUGUCUCUCUGUCUAUGUGGAUGCCUGAUGCUUCUGGUAUUUCACAAAUCUUGAGCCUGGCCAGGAGUUUACUAACAGGCACCCCUGUGUCAUCUGAACAAGUAACUGGAAGAACCUAACACAGACACCUGUAGGGCAGGACUCCUUAUUUUCUGACUCCCUCGCUCUGACCACAGGUAGGACAUUCAGGUGUCUAAGUAUCUGGGUUGCUCUUUCUCCACAUUCAUGUAACAUUUUCAUUUGCAGAGCAAUGUCUUUAGAUAGUCAGCAAUCA